rnacentral:rRNA from 1 species
AUACGUAGGGAGCGAGCGUUGUCCGGAAUUACUGGGUGUAAAGGGAGCGUAGGCGGGAGUGCAAGUCAGAUGUGAAAUACAUGGGCUCAACCCAUGGGCUGCAUUUGAAACUGCAUUUCUUGAGUGAAGUAGAGGGACGCGGAAUUCCUGGUGUAGCGGUUAAAUGCGUAGAUAUCAGGAGGAACACCGGUGGCGAAGGCGGCUUACUGGGCUUUUACUGACGCUGAGGCUCGAAAGCGUGGGGAGCAAACAGGAUUAGAUACCCUGGUAGUCCACGCUGUAAACGAUGAUUACUAGGUGUGGGGGGACUGACCCCUUCCGUGCCGCAGUUAACACAAUAAGUAAUCCACCUGGGGAGUACGGCCGCAAGGUUGAAACUCAAAUGAAUUGACGGGG